UUUUAUUAGUGUUUGAACCUCCUGAUAUUUUAAGGAUGAACCUCCUCAUAUUUUAACAUUGCAAUUGAGCCAAACAUAUUGCACCAAUAAUCCAAGUUUCUCUCACCCUAUGAAUGACACGAGUCUCACUUUUAUGUUAACACAACAGUAUUUGGCUCAACUAGAGAUAAUUGACUUCCUUUUUGAUAUAACUCUAUUUUUUAAAAGCCCAACUCUCUAUUUGGUUUUUCCUAUUACAUUUGUUUUCUUUUAUUUUCUUAUUAAUAAUUGUAAUUGUAAUAAUUGAAUUCCUUCUAAAGUAAAAAU
rnacentral:lncRNA from 1 species